GAUGAACGCUGGCGGCGUGCCUAAUACAUGCAAGUCGAGCGAAUGGAUUAAGAGCUUGCUCUUAUGAAGUUAGCGGCGGACGGGUGAGUAACACGUGGGUAACCUGCCCAUAAGACUGGGAUAACUCCGGGAAACCGGGGCUAAUACCGGAUAACAUUUUGAACCGCAUGGUUCGAAAUUGAAAGGCGGCUUCGGCUGUCACUUAUGGAUGGACCCGCGUCACAUUAGCUAGUUGGUGAGGUAACGGCUAACCAAGGCAACGAUGCGUAGCCGACCUGAGAGGGUGAUCGGCCACGCUGGAACUGAGACACGGCCCAGACUCCUACGGGAGUCAGCAGUAGGGAAUCUUACGCAAUGGACGAAAGUGUGAGGGAGCAACGCCGCGUGAGUGAUGAAGGCUUUCGGGUCGUAAAACUCUGUUGUGAGGGAAGAACAAGUGCUAGUUGAAUAAGCUGGCACCUUGACGGUACCUAACCAGAAAGCCACGACUAACUACGUGCCAGCCGCCGCAGUAA
rnacentral:rRNA from 1 species